rnacentral:rRNA from 1 species
AUGGCUCAGUGAGGCGUCCGGACUGGCCUAGGGAGGUCGGCAACGACCACCCAGGGCCGGAAAGUUCGUCAAACUUGGUCAUUUAGAGGAAGUAAAAGUCGUAACAAGGUCUCCGUAGGUGAACCUGCGGAGGGAUCAUUACCGAGUGAGGGCGUGAGCCCGACCUCCAACCCCAUGUUUUCCAACCAUGUUGCCUCGGGGGCGACCCGGCCACGUGCCGGGGCCCCCGGUGGACCCCUCAACUCUGCAUCUCUGCGUCUGAGUAACGAAAUCAAUCAAUCAAAACUUUCAACAACGGAUCUCUUGGUUCUGGCAUCGAUGAAGAACGCAGCGAAAUGCGAUAAGUAAUGUGAAUUGCAGAAUUCAGUGAAUCAUCGAAUCUUUGAACGCACAUUGCGCCCUCUGGUAUUCCGGAGGGCAUGCCUGUUCGAGCGUCAUUACACCGCUCCAGCCUCGCUGGGUAUUGGGCGUCGCGGCCUCCGCGCGCCUUAAAGUCUCCGGCCGAGCCGACCGUCUCUAAGCGUUGCGAUCGUCCAUUCGCUUCGGGGACGGGCCGGCGCCGCGCCGUUAAAUCCUUUCACCAAAGGUUGACCUCGGAUCAGGUAGGGAUACCCGCUGAACUUAAGCAUAUCAAUAAGCGGAGGAAAAGAAACCAACAGGGAUUGCCCCAGUAACGGCGAGUGAAGCGGCAACA